rnacentral:piRNA from 1 species
CGGCCAAUGCAAAGAGAACUUUUACU